CCUGGCAAGAAUCAGCAUGAGAGUGGUCCUUCCAGACCACCUCCACAGAAAGACUGGGAAAAUUUUCCAGUUGAACAAGACCAGUGCCUGAAGUGCAAAAAGAGAGGGCACUACAAGAGGGACUGCCCAGAAUUCCUGAAAGAGUUGUUAAGAAAGGGGAUCAAGUAUGAGGAGGACCCUGCCAAGAGGCGCAAGAAGAAUUAAAGUUGCAAACGGUGUAGAAGCUGAAGUCGAAGCCAUUGCAGAAUUUCAUUUAGAAUUACAUAGUGGCUUUGUACUUUGUUUGAGAGAUGUUCUUUAUGUACCGUCUUUGCAACGAAACUUAAUAAGUGUGUCUAAAUUAGAUGAUGACGCUAUUGCUUGUCAUUUUGGUGAUGCAAAGUGUAAGAUACAAGUUAAUUCA